CCUACGGGGUGCAGCAGUGGGGAAUAUUGCACAAUGGGGGAAACCCUGAUGCAGCGACGCCGCGUGAGUGAAGAAGGAACUCGUUAUGUAAAGCUCCAUCAGUAGGGAAGAAAAUGACGGUACGUGAGUAAGAAGCCCCGGCCAACUACGGGCCAGCAGCCGAGGUAAUAUGUAGGGUGCAAGCGUUAUCCGGAUUUACUGGGUGUAAAGGGAGCGUAGACGGCAGUGCAAGUCUGGAGUGAAAGGCGGGGGCUCAACCCCCGGACUGCACUGGAAACUGGACGGCUGGAGUGCAGGAGAGGUAAGUGGAAUUCCUAGUGUAGCGGUGAAAUGCGUAGAUAUUAGGAAGAACCCCGGUGGCGAAGGCAGCUUACUGGACUGUAACUGACGUUGAGGCUCGAAAGCGUGGGGAGCGAACAGGAUUAGAUACCCCAGUAGUC
rnacentral:rRNA from 1 species